AUCUCAUUUGAUUCCCACACAACUUUGUCCAUUAAAUAUUUUUAUUCUUUUUUAUAGAUGAGGAAACUGGGACUUGGGGGCUUUGCUUGAGAGAGCUGGGACAGAAACUGAGUCUUUUGGCUUCAAGUUCAUGAUUCAUUUAAAUGGCUGUGUUGUGUGGCCAUGUCUCCCUGAGUGACAAGCAGGCUGGUUAUGUGGAGUUGUCAGCACACAGGCCUCCCUGAAGACGGCCUUCUCCUCCAGGUGCCACGGUGUCAGGAGACACUCUCUCACAUUAGCACAAGCAGAAGAAUGAUGCACUGGACACUUGAAGUAAGAGCCCUUUGA
rnacentral:lncRNA from 1 species